rnacentral:rRNA from 1 species
GGGCCCGCACAAGCGGUGGAGCAUGUGGCUUAAUUCGAGGCAACGCGAAGAACCUUACCUGGUCUUGACAUGCCCGUCAUAGUUUUCCGAAAGGAAUUCGUCAGUUCGGCUGGACGGUGCACAGGUGCUGCAUGGCUGUCGUCAGCUCGUGUCGUGAGAUGUUCGUUAAGUCCGGCAACGAGCGCAACCCUCGUUUCCAGUUGCCAGCGGGUAAUGCCGGGGACUCUGGAAAGACAAACCUCUUGUUGAGGUGGGAAGGUGGGGACGACGUCAAGUCAGUAUGGCCCUUACGACCAGGGCUGCACACGUGCUACAAUGCCCGGCACAAUGGGAUGCAAUAUCGCGAGAUUGAGCAAA